rnacentral:rRNA from 1 species
UACGUAGGGUGCAAGCGUUGUCCGGAAUUAUUGGGCGUAAAGAGCUCGUAGGCGGUUUGUCGCGUCUGCUGUGAAAACUCGGGGCUUAACUCCGGGCCUGCAGUGGGUACGGGCAGACUAGAGUGCGGUAGGGGAGACUGGAAUUCCUGGUGUAGCGGUGAAAUGCGCAGAUAUCAGGAGGAACACCGGUGGCGAAGGCGGGGUCUCUGGGCCGUAACUGACGCUGAGGAGCGAAAGCGUGGGGAGCAAACAGG